rnacentral:rRNA from 1 species
UCGGAUUUACUGGGCGUAAAGGGCGCGUAGGCGGCCACCGCAAGUCGACUGUGAAAUCUCCGGGCUUAACCCGGAAAGGUCAGCCGAUACUGCGGGGCUAGAGUGCAGAAGGGGCAACUGGAAUUCUCGGUGUAGCGGUGAAAUGCGUAGAUAUCGAGAGGAACACCUGCGGCGAAGGCGGGUUGCUGGGCUGACACUGACGCUGAUGUGCGAAAGCUAGGGGAGCGAACGGG